UUGGAGGGCAAGUCUGGUGCCAGCAGCCGCGGUAAUUCCAGCUCCAAUAGCGUAUAUUAAAGUUGUUGCAGUUAAAAAGCUCGUAGUUGAAUUUCGGAAUCAAUUUGUUGGUCGUGCCUCGGUACGUACUGGUAUUAUUGGUUUCUACCUUCUGAAGAACCUUGAUGUCAUUAAUUUGGUGUCUUGGGGAAUCAGGACUGUUACUUUGAAAAAAUUAAAGUGUUUAAAGCAAGCAUACGCUUGAAUACAUUAGCAUGGAAUAAUGAAAUAGGACGUUUGAUUCUAUUUUGUUGGUUUCUAGGAUCGACGUAAUGAUUGAUAGGGAUAGUUGGGGGCAUUAGUAUUCAAUUGUCAGAGGUGAAAUUCUUGGAUUUAUUGAAGACUAACUACUGCGAAAGCAUUUGCCAAGGAUGUUUUCAUUAAUCAAGAACGAAAGUUAGGGGAUCGAAGACGAUCAGAUACCGUCGUAGUCUUAACCAUAAACUAUGCCGACUAGGGAUCGGAUGAUGUUAAUUUUUUAAUGACUCAUUCGGCGCCUUACGGGAAAC
rnacentral:rRNA from 1 species